rnacentral:rRNA from 1 species
ACGGGAGGCAGCAGUGGGGGAUAUUGCGCAAUGGGGGAAACCCUGACGCAGCAACGCCGCGUGAAGGAUGAAGGUUUUCGGAUCGUAAACUUAUGUCAUCGGGGACGAGAAUGGACGGUACCCGAGGAGGAAGCCACGGCUAACUACGUGCCAGCAGCCGCGGUAAUACGUAGGUGGCGAGCGUUGUCCGGAUUUACUGGGUGUAAAGGGCGUGUAGGCGGGUUUGUAAGUUGGAUGUGAAAUGCCGCGGCUCAACCGCGGAGCUGCAUCCAAAACUAUAGAUCUUGAGUGCCGGAGAGGAAAGCGGAAUUCCUAGUGUAGCGGUGAAAUGCGUAGAUAUUAGGAGGAACACCGGUGGCGAAGGCGGCUUUCUGGACGGUAACUGACGCUGAGGCGCGAAAGCGUGGGGAGCAAACAGGAUUAGAUACCCUGGUA